UGACGUGUUCGAUGCUCUGAUGCUGA
rnacentral:piRNA from 1 species